AUUUCAGGAGGUGGUCAGUUUAGCAGGUGGUCAUUUCAGCAGUUGACUGUUGAAGCUGUUGACCAUUGCAGGUGGCUCUGCUCAUUUCAGGAGUUGGUUAUUUCAGGAAAAAGGGGCUUCUGCUCACAUCUGGAGCACGAGGCAGGUGUAGGCUCACAUGUGGGUGAAAUCCCAGAGGAAAGAGCAACUCCUCUCAGGUAAAUCCCAGUGAGGAUGUGGAGGGAGCCAAAAAAAAUGGCAAUUCCUGGGGAGGAGAGGAAUCAAAACAAUGAGCCAACAAAAGGAGCUUGGUCAGACACAAUCUUCUAAGAAGAACGAAGAAUUUCACUUUGAAGGGAUGGUCACCAGCCAGGUUUCAUUCUGGCAGCAUUGAAGGAGCUUUCGGAGGUAUCACAAUUAAUUUCAGCUGGCGGGGAGCCGGGAGGGCUCCACAAAGGUCGCGGCAGCCAGGAGGAUGCUCGGGCUCCUUGGGACAGGUGACAUUCAGCACCUGGGAGUGCUGCCUUCAGCCAGCCGAGCGCAGGGCUGCAAUUCCUGCCCUGUGCCGGGACCAGCCUCAUCCUGCCCUCCUCCCCUGCCCGCUGCGGCCCCCGGGGCUUUGAGUUCAGAUUUUCCUGCCCAUAAAUCCGCCCUCAGCAGCAACUGUGCCACACGUGUCCCAGGACAGGAAUUUUUUCUCCAUUUUUAGUGCCGGUGUGAAGCUAAAUUAUGGGGGUUGUCAUUGUCAGCACAAGCCACCGUCCCCAUCCUGCCUGGAAGCAGAGCAGAGGGGCCUGGGGCUGGCAGGGGGGAGCAGAGGUGGGGCAGCUCCUGUCUGCUGGGAAUUGCAGGGUUUGGGGG